rnacentral:rRNA from 1 species
GUAACACGUGGAUAACCUACCUAUAAGACUGGGAUAACUUCGGGAAACCGGAGCUAAUACCGGAUAAUAUUUUGAACCGCAUGGUUCAAAAGUGAAAGACGGUCUUGCUGUCACUUAUAGAUGGAUCCGCGCUGCAUUAGCUAGUUGGUAAGGUAACGGCUUACCAAGGCAACGAUGCAUAGCCGACCUGAGAGGGUGAUCGGCCACACUGGAACUGAGACACGGUCCAGACUCCUACGGGAGGCAGCAGUAGGGAAUCUUCCGCAAUGGGCGAAAGCCUGACGGAGCAACGCCGCGUGAGUGAUGAAGGUCUUCGGAUCGUAAAACUCUGUUAUUAGGGAAGAACAUAUGUGUAAGUAACUGUGCACAUCUUGACGGUACCUAAUCAGAAAGCCACGGCUAACUACGUGCCAGCAGCCGCGGUAAUACGUAGGUGGCAAGCGUUAUCCGGAAUUAUUGGGCGUAAAGCGCGCGUAGGCGGUAAGUCUGAUGUGAAAGCCCACGGCUCAACCGUGGAGGGUCAUUGGAAA